rnacentral:miRNA from 1 species
UGGACUAAGAUCUGAAAGAGC